UACGUAGGGUGCGAGCGUUGUCCGGAAUUACUGGGCGUAAAGAGCUCGUAGGUGGUUUGUCGCGGUGGCCGUGAAAACUCACAACUCAAUUGUGGGCGUGCGGGCGAUACGGGCAGACUGGAGUACUGCAGGGGAGACUGGAAUUCCUGGUGUAGCGGUGGAAUGCGCAGAUAUCAGGAGGAACACCGGUGGCGAAGGCGGGUCUCUGGGCAGUAACUGACGCUGAGGAGCGAAAGCGUGGGGAGCGAACAGG
rnacentral:rRNA from 1 species